CUGGAGGCAAAGAACCUCUGCUGAGUGGACAAAUAUAAAAACUCUCAACUAGAGCAUAAUACCAGUUGUUGGAAGAUUGGAGGAGUCAAUGGAACUUUUCCAGAGAAAGGCACUUCUAAGCAGAUCUUCUAUAAAAGACAUCUCCAGUAAUCUUCCGUGAUCAUUU